rnacentral:RNase_MRP_RNA from 2 species
CUCUCGCUCCAAAAAUCGCAAUCAAAGCUCACACACCGACAGCAUCUCGUGUGCUCGUCUAUGUACAUACAGCUUUGGGAGAAAGUCCCCGGACGCCUUGCACUUGCUGCAAGUCAGCGGAAACGCGCCGCCACAGAAGCAUUUUGCGGCUUAUCCCCUCGACACCUCCAUCCUCCUUCAUCACCCUCUGUCGUCUGCACUCUUGUCUGGAAGCGUCAUCGCUCGGAUCGCACCUGGCCUGGGGACACGUCGCUUCCGAGCGGCGGCUCGGUAACGAGAGACGAGGAUAUGAGUCUGCUUUCCUAGUCAGCCGGUCUUGCUGCUUUGGCGCCGAAGGUCAGGAGGAGAUAGGGGGAUCACUGGUGCGGGACAAGUUGGGCUCAAGGUCAAGAGGCGGAGCUUAUUGUCGUGGUCAACAGAUAUGCGAUUGCUCGCGUCUUGCACCUUUCCUCUGAAACUCUUCUUGGACUGGUGCUGGAUUGUGAGUAACUCGAUGGGGCUUAUUCUUGAUGCGAGA